GACGAACGCUGGCGGCGUGCUUAACACAUGCAAGUCGAGCGGAGCGGCGAACGGGUGAGUAACGCGUGAGUAACUGCCCCCCUCUCUGGGAUAACAGUUGGAAACGGCUGCCAAUACCGGAUAGUGGGGGAUGCCUCGCGUCCUAUCAGCUUGUUGGUGGGGUAGGGGCCUACAAAGGCGACGACGGGUAGCCGGCCUGGAAGGGCGACCGGCCACAAUGGGCUGAGAUACGGCCCAAACGCAUACGGUAGGCAGCAGGGGGGAAUAUUGCACAAUGGGGGAAACCCUGAUGCAGCAACGCCGCGGGCGGGAUGACGGCCUUCGGGUUGGAAACCGCUUUCAGCCAUGACGCGGUAGUGGCAGAAGAAGCACCGGCUAACUACGUGCCAGCAGCCGCGGUAAUUC
rnacentral:rRNA from 1 species